GCGCGAACUGGGUGAUCCUAUGCUGCCAAGAAAAGCCUCGACGCGAGGUUCUAGCCGCCCGUACCCCAAACCGACUCAGGUGGUCAGGUAGAGAAUACUAAGGCGAUCGAGAGAAUCGUGGUUAAGGAACUCGGCAAAAUGCCCCCGUAACUUCGGGAGAAGGGGGGCCCGAAGCGUGAACACCCUCGCGGUGGGAGCGUGGACGGCCGCAGAGACCAGGGAGAAGCGACUGUUUACUAAAAACACAGGUCCGUGCGAAGUCGCAAGACGAUGUAUACGGACUGACGCCUGCCCGGUGCUGGAAGGUUAAGAGGACGGGUCAACCCCUCGGGGUGAAGCUCAGAAUUUAAGCCCCAGUAAACGGCGGUGGUAACUAUAACCAUCCUAAGGUAGCGAAAUUCCUUGUCGGGUAAGUUCCGACCUGCACGAAUGGCGUAACGACUUCUCCGCUGUCUCAACCGCGAACUCGGCGAAAUUGCACUACGAGUAAAGAUGCUCGUUACGCGCAGCAGGACGGAAAGACCCCGGGACCUUUACUAUAGCUUGGUAUUGGUGUUCGGUGCGGCUUGUGUAGGAUAGGUGGGAGACUGUGAAGCCCGUACGCCAGUGCGGGUGGAGUCAACGUUGAAAUACCACUCUGGCCGCUUCGGAUGUCUAACCUCGGUCCGUGAUCCGGACCAGGGACAGUGCCUGGUGGGUAGUUUAACUGGGGCGGUUGCCUCCUAAAAUGUAACGGAGGCGCUCAAAGGUUCCCUCAGCCUGGUUGGCAAUCAGGUGUCGAGUGCAAGUGCACAAGGGAGCUUGACUGUGAGACUGACAGGUCGAGCAGGGACGAAAGUCGGAACUAGUGAUCCGGCGGUGGCUUGUGGAAGCGCCGUCGCUCAACGGAUAAAAGGUACCCCGGGGAUAACAGGCUGAUCUUGCCCAAGAGUCCAUAUCGACGGCAUGGUUUGGCACCUCGAUGUCGGCUCGUCGCAUCCUGGGGCUGGAGUAGGUCCCAAGGGUUGGGCUGUUCGCCCAUUAAAGCGGUACGCGAGCUGGGUUUAGAACGUCGUGAGACAGUUCGGUCCCUAUCCGCUGCGCGCGCAGGAAACUUGAGAAGGGCUGUCCCUAGUACGAGAGGACCGGGACGGACGAACCUCUGGUGUGCCAGUUGUUCCGCCAGGAGCACCGCUGGUUGGCUACGUUCGGAAGGGAUAACCGCUGAAAGCAUCUAAGCGGGAAGCCUGCUUCAAGAUGAGGUUUCCAACCCCUACGGGGGGAGAGGCACCCAGCAGAACACUGGGUCGAUAGGCCGGACGUGGAAGCGGGGACGAAAGACCCGUGCAGCUGACCGGUACUAAUCAGCCGACAACUUCAACA
rnacentral:rRNA from 2 species